rnacentral:rRNA from 1 species
GCCCAGACUCCUACGGGAGGCAGCAGUAGGGAAUCUUCCGCAAUGGACGAAAGUCUGACGGAGCAACGCCGCGUGAGCGAUGAAGGCCUUCGGGUCGUAAAGCUCUGUUGUUAGGGAAGAACAAGUACCGGAGUAACUGCCGGUACCUUGACGGUACCUAACCAGAAAGCCACGGCUAACUACG